UUACCUGUGUGACUGCGUACCUUUUGUAUAAUGGGUCAGCGACUUAUAUUCUGUAGCAAGGUUAACCGUAUAGGGGAGCCGGAGGGAAACCGAGUCUUAACCGGGCGUUAAGUUGCAGGGUAUAGACCCGAAACCCGGUGAUCUAGCCAUGGGCAGGUUGAAGGUUGGGUAACACUAACUGGAGGACCGAACCGACUAAUGU
rnacentral:rRNA from 1 species